rnacentral:sRNA from 1 species
UGGCCCUGUGUCCAUGCUUGCUGCAGAGUA